rnacentral:rRNA from 1 species
AUGAACGCUAGCUACAGGCUUAACACAUGCAAGUCGAGGGGCAGCAUGGUCUUAGCUUGCUAAGGCUGAUGGCGACCGGCGCACGGGUGAGUAACACGUAUCCAACCUGCCGUCUACUCUUGGCCAGCCUUCUGAAAGGAAGAUUAAUCCAGGAUGGCAUCAUGAGUUCACAUGUCCGCAUGAUUAAAGGUAUUUUCCGGUAGACGAUGGGGAUGCGUUCCAUUAGAUAGUAGGCGGGGUAACGGCCCACCUAGUCAACGAUGGAUAGGGGUUCUGAGAGGAAGGUCCCCCACAUUGGAACUGAGACACGGUCCAAACUCCUACGGGAGGCAGCAGUGAGGAAUAUUGGUCAAUGGGCGAUGGCCUGAACCAGCCAAGUAGCGUGAAGGAUGACUGCCCUAUGGGUUGUAAACUUCUUUUAUAAAGGAAUAAAGUCGGGUAUGCAUACCCGUUUGCAUGUACUUUAUGAAUAAGGAUCGGCUAACUCCGUGCCAGCAGCCGCGGUAAUACGGAGGAUCCGAGCGUUAUCCGGAUUUAUUGGGUUUAAAGGGAGCGUAGAUGGAUGUUUAAGUCAGUUGUGAAAGUUUGCGGCUCAACCGUAAAAUUGCAGUUGAUACUGGAUGUCUUGAGUGCAGUUGAGGCAGGCGGAAUUCGUGGUGUAGCGGUGAAAUGCUUAGAUAUCACGAAGAACUCCGAUUGCGAAGGCAGCCUGCUAAGCUGCAACUGACAUUGAGGCUCGAAAGUGUGGGUAUCAAACAGGAUUAGAUACCCUGGUAGUCCACGCCGUAAACGAUGAGUGCUAGGUGUUGGGUCCUUUCCGGGACUCAGUGCCGCAGCUAACGCAUUAAGCACUCCGCCUGGGGAGUACGACCGCAAGGUUGAAACUCAAAGGAAUUGACGGGGGCCCGCACAAGCGGUGGAGCAUGUGGUUUAAUUCGAAGCAACGCGAAGAACCUUACCAGGUCUUGACAUCCCUCUGACCGCUCUAGAGAUAGAGCUUUCCUUCGGGACAGAGGUGACAGGUGGUGCAUGGUUGUCGUCAGCUCGUGCCGUGAGGUGUCGGCUUAAGUGCCAUAACGAGCGCAACCCUUGUUGUCAGUUACUAACAGGUGAUGCUGAGGACUCUGACAAGACUGCCAUCGUAAGAUGUGAGGAAGGUGGGGAUGACGUCAAAUCAGCACGGCCCUUACGUCCGGGGCUACACACGUGUUACAAUGGGGGGUACAGAGGGCCGCUACCACGCGAGUGGAUGCCAAUCCCUAAAACCCCUCUCAGUUCGGACUGGAGUCUGCAACCCGACUCCACGAAGCUGGAUUCGCUAGUAAUCGCGCAUCAGCCACGGCGCGGUGAAUACGUUCCCGGGCCUUGUACACACCGCCCGUCAAGCCAUGGGAGCCGGGGGUACCUGAAGUGCGUAACCGCGAGGAUCGCCCUAGGGUAAAACUGGUGACUGGGGCU